rnacentral:rRNA from 1 species
UACGGAAAAUGCGAACGUUAUCCGGAAUUACUGGGUUUAAAGGGUGCGUAGACGGCUUAGUAAGUCAGAAGUGAAAGUUUGCGACUCAACCGUAAAAUUGCUUUUGAUACUGCUAGACUGGAAUUAGGAUGAGGUCAACGGAAUGUGGCAUGUAGCGGUGAAAUGCAUAGAUAUGCCAUAGAACACCAAUUGCGAAGGCAGCUGACUAGACCUGGAUUGACGCUGAGGCACGAAAGCGUAAAGAGCGAACAGG